rnacentral:misc_RNA from 1 species
GAUGAAGAACGCAGCGAAAUGCGAUAAGUAAUGUGAAUUGCAGAAUUCAGUGAAUCAUCGAAUCUUUGAACGCACAUUGCGCCCGCCAGUAUUCUGGCGGGCAUGCCUGUUCGAGCGUCAUUUCAACCAUCAAGCCCCAGGCUUGUGUUGGGGACCUGCGGCUGCCGCAGGCCCUGAAAACCAGUGGCGGGCUCGCUGUCACACCGGGCGUAGUAGAUUUUAUCUCGCUCAGGGCGUGCUGCGGGUUCCGGCCGUUAAAAAGCCUUUUUUACCCAAGGUUGACCUCAGAUCAGGUAGGAAGACCCGCUGAACUUAAGCAUAUCAAUAAGCGGAGGA